rnacentral:rRNA from 1 species
GAUGAACGCUGGCGGCGUGCCUAAUACAUGCAAGUCGAGCGAACAGACGAGGAGCUUGCUCCUCUGACGUUAGCGGCGGACGGGUGAGUAACACGUGGAUAACCUACCUAUAAGACUGGGAUAACUUCGGGAAACCGGAGCUAAUACCGGAUAAUAUAUUGAACCGCAUGGUUCAAUAGUGAAAGACGGUUUUGCUGUCACUUAUAGAUGGAUCCGCGCCGCAUUAGCUAGUUGGUAAGGUAACGGCUUACCAAGGCAACGAUGCGUAGCCGACCUGAGAGGGUGGUCGGCCACCCUGGAACUGGAGAACGGUUCAGACUCCUACGGGAGGGCGCAGUAGGGAAACUUCCGGAAUGGGCGGAAGCCUGACGGAGCAACGGCGCGUGGGGGAUGAAGGUCUUCGGAUCGGAAAACUCUGUUAUUAGGGAAGAACAAAUGUGUAAGUAACUAUGCACGUCUUGACGGUACCUAAUCAGAAAGCCACGGCUAACUACGUG